CCGCCCAGCCACGAGCUGGGUGGGGGAGGGGAAGCCCAUGGCCUGAGAAAGGGCAUCCUUGAAAGGAAAAAUCCUAAAGGCAGUGACCAUCCAUGCAUUAAUGCUAAGGAAUGGUACAGUUGGUGCUCCCACUGAGACUCUUCAAACCACACGUUGCUUGCUUGUUCCCCCUCUCUCCCUGUGUUGAGAUGCAGAGGACAAUUGAAGGCACAAAAGGUAAAGAUUGUGGGUUGAGAAUCACAGAACCACAGAAUGGUUGAAGCUGUAAGAGUCCCUCUGGAAAUCAUCUUUUCCUACUACCUGCUGCUUAAAGAGGAUCACCUGGAAUAAAUUGAAGGACCUUGUCCAGAGAGCUUUUGAGUACACCCAGGGAUGGAGAUUCCACAACUUUGACUAACUUGUGCCAGUGUUCUGGUAUCCCACAGUGAAAAAGUGUUUCCUUCAGUUUUUCUUUACAUGGGAAAUAUUCCCACCCCUUUAACACCAUAGUGGUCCUUCACUGGGCUCUCUCUAGUAGCUGCAUAUCCUCCUUGCACUGAGAAACCCAGAACUGAAUACAGUAGACCAAGUGGGCUCUCACUUCUCCAUUCAAUUGUUAUGAUUAACUGUUUUAAUUACACAAAAUUUACUUACACAGGACCCUCCCCCUUCAAGUUCUGUAUUCUACUCACUGUGUAACUAUGGCAAAUCAGAACUGUCAACAUUCCUAUUGCAAAAUGAUUGGGACUUUAAUACAUGAUAUUCUGAAAAGAGUAUGUCACUGGGUUAAUGUGCACAAUGCAAAAUAGAAUAUAAGAAAGACAAUGAUUGCAGUGAUCUAGGCCACAGGGGCACCGUGUGAACAAGUGUCAACAGGGAGGAACCAUCUUGCAUGUAGCUGCAGAGAGAAAAUCAGUGGGAAUAAUCAGGAAGUAGACCAAGUGCAAAAGCCAUAGAGCUUUUUAUCCUGUAGACUAUUGCACGUGAGAUACAAAAAGCACUGUGGCUACGAUGAAUAUGCAAAAUAUCUUCUUCUGAGCAUCUUUUUUGAGCAAGGUUGAGAAAUACUGUCAUUUACUUUGGUUACCAUGAUGUUACUUUGACAUUUUCCACACCUCAAGCAGGGGGGGCCAGAUCAGUAGCAUUGUGAGGUCAGUGGCAAGAUAAAGGAACAUGUUGUCAUAGUUUAGGAAUGGUAUUCUCUAAUUUAGUGUUACCACUGAAAACACUCCAGACCUCAUGCCAUUCACCCACUCUCCACCCAACUACCCCUAUGUCAGGAUAGAGAGGAGAAUUGGGAGCAGAAAAGGUAAAAACCAGAAAUGAAGAUAAGAACAAUUUGCUGGAAGCAGCAAGGAAAUCAGAAAAUUUAAGAGCAGCAGCAAUAUUACAGCCACCCCCAUGUGUGAGGUGUGGUGCUACAGAAAAACCCCUGCAUCCUGGACAUGCUCUUCCUGCCUGCUGCAGAAGCUAACCCUGUCCUGGUUGGAAUGAGGACAAAUCCAUGUUAGCACUCAUGACUGACUCCUCUAAUCAAUUCCGACCAUUUAAAUUCUGUGUUUGGCUCACAGUAAAGAGAUUUAUUUUUUUUUUCCUGAAAUACCCUUCUGGAACAUUCUAAAUAGUUUGCAUCAUCAAAUAUUAAAUAAAUUCCCUCUUAUUUUAUUUAAAGUUGUAGUAACAUAAAGAUAGCCCCAGGUGUUGCCCCAGGCUAGAAAACUGAAUUGUGAGUUCAAGUUGCCCUGUGAAUGUCAAGAAAAUUAUCUAAAAACUGACCUAUUGACAAACAAUUAUUUUAUAGAUUAAUUAAAUCUUAAAACAUUGCCAGGAGUUGAUGAAGGAUUUAUUCUAGAGGAGCUGAGAUGUUGCAAUUUAUUUCUCACACUGCCUUGUAAGAUUGACUUUUUACCUCCAAUCCCAAACAGCUACUGACUUGCUAGACAACCACACCUACAUCUACAAUAUUUAAUGGAAACCAAGAGAGUCAGAAAGAUGACUUGUGUCUGUUACUACCUUGCUCCAAAACAUGCCACAUUACAUUAAAACCUGUUGCCUAGGUAUAAAGCUCUUUACAGAGAACUGGAGACUUUCUAUUAUUUUGUAAACUUUCUGUUCUAAGCUGGGCUACUGGAAACACACUCUUUUAGUCAUAGUGGUGAGAGGUAAAGACGUGCACUUGUUGCAUCAACUGACAUUUCCUGACUAGGAACCCUUGGCUUAGUACUGGAGUUAUAUAAAAUAUGUGACUUGAGGCAUAGCACAAAAAGACAGAGAAAGUGUGUUGUGGGUUAUUCCACCCACAUCUAGUCACCAAGAAUGUAUUAUUACAGCUAGUUUUGUAUCUGCAUGUAUUAAGGUAAUCAGUUAAUAGCUUUCAUGGGUCUAUUUUCUCUGUCUAAGUACCCACUUCAUUCUGAAUGACCAAGUAGUUGCUAAAUUAGAAUAUGUGAAGUGUCUCCCAGGAAAUUUGUUUUUGCUACCCAGACACAAUCACCCCAUUUUAGCCCUCCCUUCAGUGUUCACUGACCUCAAUAAAGCGUACACAGCCAUUUAUGGACUCCCGCAGGCUCUGUUUAAACUUUACAGUGCUACUCAGAUACUUGGUCCAAGUUUAUGCUCCAGGUCAAUCUCAUCACUGUGUCUGGAUAAAAUCUAGGUUUUGUACAGCCUAGCUCUCUUGAGAGGCUUGAUUUUCUUGAAGGGUAAAAAAAAUCCCAAAAACUUGACAGAUGAGCUGACAGAAUGGUACUCUGAAUUAUUGUCUAGUCUUCAAUUUUGACUGUUAAGAAUACACUGUUAAGCUGAGACCCACCUCAGAAUCUGACCAUGAACUAUGGUCUAUAUUGGGAAGACCAUGGGUGAAGUCCAGUUUAAUCAAAACCAAAAUUUUUUGAAGAAGAGCCAAAUAUGGCUAAAGAAAGAACUUAAAUUCGUCUGAUACAUUUGCAAAAAUAGUUUCAAAAUUUUAAUAUUACUGUGCAUUUUGCAAUACCUGAAAUAAGAAACAGAUAAUAAGACCAUUUGUUUGCAUCUGUGACACCUUCAGGGAAUACUCACUAGGUUUUUUUAGAAAUGUUAUUUUCACUUGAUGUUUUUUUCUGCAUGUUUUAAAAUUAUAUUUUUUUCAGAUACAUAAUUUCUCAUUACAUUCUCUAACUGUAACAUGUACAAGUGUAUCAGCAUUAAAAUUCUGUGCAAUGGCAUUAAAAGAAUGUAUAUGCUCUAUAAAUAUAAGAUAAAAAUUAUAUUUUACAGAGGUUUUUUUCAUCAAUGAUUUUUCAUCAAUGUGAAUAUAAUUAGCUUUUAUUAAAUUACGUGUUAUUAAUAACAUAUUAAAUUUAGCUGAAAUGACCAAGGACUAUCUGGAAGGGCUAAAUAAAGCAAAUACUAGAUAAAAAACCAUGACAAACUAACCUUUGAAUUAGUUUGUAUACUGCUAUACUCUCUGGAUGACAUAUUUUCAUGUUAGUCUCUCUUCGUAUCUCUUCAUUUGCAUUCUUUGUGCUGAAACAUAAAUUUUAAGAGAAGGUACAAGAACACAUAUGUACCAUCUCUUUUACCCUUAUAAUUGCAAAUGUACCCCAGAUGUAAUUCUGCAAUAUGAUAAUUUUAAAUGAUUCGUGAUGUCUUUAACAGAAGGAAAAAAUAUUGGUGUUCUAUAUUCAGUGUAGACUGUUUAAUAUUUUGAAGGAAAAGGAGACCUGUACGUAGUGAUACUCCAAAAGAAAAGAAGUAGUUUCUCACUUUUUUGGAAGAAAAAGUCUUGAAUCUGUCUUCAGAAUUAUCUUCCUGCUCUGUGGACAGUGAAUACCUGGGCUUGUCUCCUGGAGUCAGGAGUCAGAAGGCUGAUGUGCAUGGCAAGGUGUAGGACAACCGCAUUCUCACCACUUUGUCCCCCUCAAGAGGUGGCCUUCUCUGACAGGGACAAAUUUCUCUGGGUCACUGUUUUUUAUGCUGGUUUGGAGCUGACUUUAAAGCACCUAUCUUUCUCCAGCCAAAAAAAGAUUUGCAGAGAUUUUUAGACUGCAAUCUAGGAUAUCCAGUGCCCCAGAGUAAUGCUUUUUAACACUUAUCAUCCUUACUGCUGUUCUGGAUUUUGCCAUGAGAUCUUUUCUUCUCUGGAAAUCUGUGAGCUGACUCCUGAUUAAACAUGUUUUCAAAUAUUUUAUGUGUACAAACCAUUUUCUCAGUCAAUAACAGGAGUCCAUUAAAGUACACAGGAUGGUUGCUUGGAGAAGCAGACAACUAAAUUCUGCAUACGUAUCUUUGGUCUCACAGAGACCUGGAGUAGACUUUAAAGACUGAAGCAUCUCAUUUGACAUCUUGAAAAUAUCCAUCAUAUAUUAACCCCAUCAAUGAUCAUAGGUUGUGUAUUAAAAGUAAUUUUUAAAGCAUCUCCUAACAGUAGCAUUCUUAUUCCUCAACUUACACAGUAAUUAUUAAUUAUAGUUUUGUCAGAAUAUUGCAGCUCCCUUAAAUCUUAGAAGAAAUUGGUAAUAGGAAUCUUUUUUCAAAAUAAAUGCACUUCAGUUAUGAUGAUUCUAUGAUUUUCUUCUUUUUUUUCUUUAUGAUUUCUUACUAUAUCCCAUAAGUUAACAAUUAAAACUUGAAAGCUUUAAAAGAGAAAAUAGCUUCCUUAAGAGACACAGAUCAAUUUAGUCAAGCGCUUUGGGCUCUGGCUGCCUCAUUCUUCCCCACUCUGUUCUUCCCUCAAGCCUUCCUUCUGAAAGACUGUUCUUCCUUAAGACCAGCUAUUCUUAUCAGCCAGUCUUAAAAGAAAAUGCUCAUCUGAAAUGGGGAAGGGAGGGUUCUAAUUCAGUAAUGCAAAUAAAAUUUACAUUUAUAUUACCAGAA